CCAUUGAGUUCCCAGGUACUUCUGUAUCCUUCGUACCUGGGACUGGGAUUAAACUAUCAGUUGGACAUGCUUCACAGAGCAUCAGUGCAAACCAGUGAAUAGAAACCUGGCUAUUCUGGUUGUAUAAUCUCUUUACUGCUUACCUGGAGAAGCCCAUCAGUACCAUCUUAGAAAGAAAUUUCUAAUCCAGAUUGAUGCCUUUGCCCAAAUGGACUACUCCCUAGUUAACUCUCCAGCAUUCUUCAGAUCAUACGUUGAU